GACGAACGCUGGCGGCGUGCCUAAAACAUGCAAGUCGAACGGGGUCUUCGGACCCAGUGGCGAACGGCGGAGUAAUACAUAAGCAACGUGCCCUGAAGACUGGGAUAUACGAUGGAAACGUCGGGCAAUACCAGAUGUGGUUGGGAGGAGUCAUCUUCAUCCAAUUAAACGGAUUUAUUCGCUUCGGGAGCGGCUUGUGGCCUAUCAGCUAGUUGGUGAGGUAAAGGCUCACCAAGGCGACGACGGGUAGGGGGUCUGAGAGGAUGAUCCCCUCGAGUGGGACUGAGACACGGCCCACACACCUACGGGUGGCAGCAGUUGGGAAUCUUGCACAAUGGGGGAAACCCUGAUGCAGCGACGCCGCGUGGAGGAUGAAGGAUUUCGGUCUGUAAACUCCUUUUACAGGGAAAGACUUAGGACGGUACCCUGUGAAUAAGCUCCGGCUAACUACGUGCCAGCAGCCGCGGU
rnacentral:rRNA from 1 species